rnacentral:rRNA from 1 species
AUUGAACGCUGGCGGCAGGCUUAACACAUGCAAGUCGAGCGGUAGCACAGGGCUGCUUGCUCCUUGGGUGACGAGCGGCGGACGGGUGAGUAAUGUCUGGGAAACUGCCUGAUGGAGGGGGAUAACUACUGGAAACGGUAGCUAAUACCGCAUAACGUCUCAAGACCAAAGAGGGGGACCUUCGGGCCUCUUGCCCUCAGAUGUGCCCAGCUGGGAUUUGCUUGUAGGUGGGGUAAUGGUUCACCUAGGCGACGAUCUCUAGUUGGUCUGAGAGGAUGACCGGCCACACUGGAACUGAGACACGGUCCAGAGUCCUACGGGAGGCAGCAGUGGGGAAUAUUGCACAAUGGGCGCGAGCCUGAUGCAACCAUGCCGCGUGUGUGAAGAAGGCCUUCGGGUUGUAAAGCACUUUCAGCGGGGGGGAAGGUGGUGAGCUUAAUACGUUCAUCAAUUGACGUUACUCGCAGAAGAAGCACCGGCUAACUCCGUG